UUCAAUGUGUGAAUCAUGGAAGAAGGUCUACCCGAUUACUCAGGGACACAUUAGACCACCUGAUGGAGUAUCCAUAUUAUCCCGGAUGGCCAUCAUAAUACAUUUGAUCUCACACACACUCCAGAGUCAAAAGGGAAGCCCCAAUCCGUGGUAGCUUUGAUCCACAUGUUUAUAUUGAUGCCAUUGGUGUGCCAAGGGGGGUACCCAACAAAUUUAAAGCUAGGGAUGAGGUUGCCGCUGGCUUUGAAUCCCUGAUUCCAUUAAUCACUGUCAAUAAGAAUGUUAAUUGGAUUAAUUAUAUCUAUUACAACCAACAGCGGUUUGUUAACUAUACUAGAGAUGCCCUAUAGGGCCUAGCAGAACAACUGCAAGCUACCACCCAAAUGACAUUUCAAAAUAGAAUGGCUCUGAAUAUGAUUCUAG